rnacentral:rRNA from 1 species
GACGAACGCUGGCGGCGUGCUUAACACAUGCCAGUCGAACGGAAAGGCCCUGCUUUUGUGGGGUGCUCGAGUGGCGAACGGGUGAGUAACACGUGAGUAACCUGCCCUUGACUUUGGGAUAACUUCAGGAAACUGGGGCUAAUACCGGAUAGGAGCUCCUGCUGCAUGGUGGGGGUUGGAAAGUUUCGGCGGUUGGGGAUGGACUCGCGGCUUAUCAGCUUGUUGGUGGGGUAGUGGCUUACCAAGGCUUUGCCGGGUAGCCGGCCUGGGAGGGUGACCGGCGACAUUGGGACUGCGAUACGGCCCAGACGCGAAUGGGAGGCAACGGUGGGGAAGAUUGUACAGUGGGCGGGAGCCUGAUGCAGCAACGCCGCGUGCGGGAUGACGGCCUUCGGGUUGUAAACCGCUUUCGCCUGUGACGAAGCGUGAGUGACGGUAAUGGGUAAAGAAGCACCGGCUAACUACGUG